AUGGCACCAUCCAUGAGUCUUGCAGCGAAAGGUCCGCUCCCCUUUGGAGCGCUCCCCUCAAGCGGCGUCGUGCAGAGGCCGGUGUCAGUGACCGCCUCACUGGAGCACAAGAGUGAUUAUAAGAGGAAGCUCCUGAAGUGGUUGCCUCCCUGGCUUACUGCUGCUGCUGGUUGCUUCGCCGUCCCCUUCCCCUACAUGUACAACUAUCAACUUGUUUCACUAUUCAGUUUGUCACCAUUCAACUUUCUUAGUGGGGCAUCUUUCUUGUCACUAUUGGUGCUGCUGCUGCUGUGGUUGUUGGAGGUGUUGCUGUUGCAUCUGGCGGAGCUGCCGUUGGGGCCCCAAAAGGAAUGCAGACUGCUCGGGACAAAAACUUACUACCAUCGCUGCUCAAGAAGGAUCGUCUGUGCUAGGAAGGAGGGAUGGAGUCAUCCAAACUUUUGCGCCAGUGUGGAAGGAGGAGGAGUAAGGCCAAAGCCUGCCUGCCUGCUUGCUGUCGCCGCCCUCCCGCGUGUGGUGUCGCCAUCGCGCCCUUCGGAGAAGGCAUCCGCCAUCGUGUGA
rnacentral:rRNA from 1 species